UACGAAGGGGGCUAGCGUUGCUCGGAAUCACUGGGCGUAAAGCGCACGUAGGCGGCUUCUUAAGUCAGGGGUGAAAUCCUGGAGCUCAACUCCAGAACUGCCUUUGAUACUGAGAAGCUUGAGUCCGGGAGAGGUGAGUGGAGCUGCGAGUGUAGAGGUGAAAUUCGUAGAUAUUCGCAAGAACACCAGUGGCGAAGGCGGCUCACUGGCCCGGUACUGACGCUGAGGUGCGAAAGCGUGGGGAGCAAACAGG
rnacentral:rRNA from 1 species